UCUUUCCACCCGUAAACCAUCUCUCAUACGGGCAACCCUCAUGUGCAAACAAACGAAUGACGCCUCUCUUUCAGUUCCGCUGCCGUUGGAUAACACAUUUUUAUGUUGCAAACAUGUGCUGUACGUACGUCUUCGCCAGUGUCUUCAAGGGCUAUUUGAUAGUUCAACGGACCCAGCUGCUUGAUAAUGCGAUGAUGAAGAUUAUGAACUACAUCAUACGAGGCAGCGUCUGGGGUUAGAUUAGGCCCAGAGAGUAUUUUGUCCAUUGGACUUUGGAGUUU